AUGGUAAUUUUUGCAUUUCAUUUUCACAAAAAAAAAAAUAUAAAAUAGAUAAUGAUGUGAUUUUUGCUGGAGUCUAUACAAACAAGCAUGUUCAUUUGCGUCUGGAGAACAUGAUUUGUAGGCCGGGGCAUCUCUGUUGCACCACAGUGCUUCAUUUAUAAUGGUCUGUUGUGACACAUUUUACCUUUAUCAAAAAAUUGCAGCUCCUUGGCCAUAUUGCGGUUUCGAUAACAUUAAUUGUUCAGCCCUAAACUCAUUUAUCGAAUAAUCGUUUCAGCUCUACUUUCAAGCUUAUCUCCUAUUCAUGCAUUUUGAUAUUUUGAAGUAAUAGACUUCAGUAGUGUUCGUUGUUCCUCGAAUUUUAGAAGAGAAUACAGAUAUGCUGUGUACAGUACAGUGUAUUUGUUGUGUAUUUGCUUAUACAUGGUUUAGUGAGUUCAUCUCCUUUCAGGCCACGGGAGGAGGAGGUUGGCGGGGGUUGCGAGCACUUAUGUGGGCUGUUUGUUUGCACAUUUGCCAGCAGUUUGCCAUAGACUCAAACAAACCCCUGCCGGGUUGUAAUAGCUUGCUGGAAUUCCCUCGCCUCUGAACGGCUAAAGAUUUUGUUGUCAUCUUUGACUGCAUUGCAGUAGGAAGCCUGGACGUCUUUACCAGCACAGCCAGGCAGCGCUGACGUCCUGCUGUCUGUCACUGCUUGGCAACAGACACAUUUGCAGCCCUCCCUCCAAGAUCACUCUGUUCCUCUCUUUAAUUGAGUUGUGCCAAGCUGAAUUGGAUUGUCAAUGACAAGUCUGAUUACUUUCCUUGUCAAAAUUUCUUUUCCUAUCACACAACACCUUGAAGUAAUAAUCCAAGACAUUUUUUAUUUUAAAAAGAUGCCUGCUUUGCUUUUCUCUACCACCCUGCCUGAUUUCACAGUAGUGAUUCCAACUGGAUCCAGUUCAUUUUAGCCCUUUCUUGAGAAAAAAAUUACAUUUCCAGCAUCAGAGACAAAAGUUUGAUUGUAAUUUUUUUUUUAAGAAUUGGGUGGUUAGCACGAGCAGUGAACAGAAACAAAAGCAGGAUGGUUCAUACUGUUUGGGAUUUCUUGGAAGGGAUUUCUGGAUAACCGGGUGGCAUUUACUGUCCUCUGACACCAGACCUCAGCAAAUAAAGAUGUGAUACUGGGCAGAUCUAUGCGACUGUGAAUAGGAUGCUCAAGAAGCUCAAGUUAGUCUUCCUGGAUAAAUAAAGACAAAUAAACCAACUCAUCAUCCUUUUCUUCUUCCCGUACUGCCCGCCCUUGAGGCUCUUUCAGUGCCUGAGAGUCAUGAAUAAUGACCCAACGCGAGGCUGUAUGGACAGACUUUUCUGAGCAUCUCACGUAUUAUGCAUGAGAUCACUUCCAGUUGAAGUUCCACAUUCGGCUCUCAUCCAGCAAAGCGCUCCCUCCUUGAUUUGGCUCAAUUCUGCAUUGUCAUCCUCCUUUAAUUAACCCUUGGUAGCCCGCUGCUGACGGCAUGUCUGAUUGCCUCCCCAAAGGCCCAUCCUGGUGAGGAGGGGAGGGGAGACGAAGAGAGAGGAGGGGGAGCCAGAAGCAGCAGCAGGGGGUGAAAGUGGAAGAGUGAGGUAGUCCUUUCUUCCUUUGUCUCUCGUUCCCAUUUCCUCUCUGGACUCCCAGUCGCCUAACAGCUUCUAGCUUCUCUGCCAGGUGGGGUUUUGCCUCCUGUGGUAGUAGGCGCUGUAGGGGAACAGACCAAAGCAAAACACUUCUGUGACAAGACGACAGGCAGCGUCCAUCCCACAAGAGAGUCAAGGAGAAAAUGAGCCCAUCAUCAGCUUUGGCAGCCGACAAAAAGGCAGGAGAAGAAGAGUAAAGUCAUUUGCGAGGAUAUCUUGGUGUUUUCUCAUGUCUAAUUGCAAGAGCUCGGUGGCAUUAACUCGGAUUAUGGUACAGACAAAUUGAGUUCUUCCCAUUUACAUUACAGAGCCCUGCUCUAUGUGUGUAUAGAUGUGUGGGAGAGAGAGGAAAUAAAGAAACAGUGCAUUUCAAAGUUUUGUGUGCGACAGAUAGUUGUCAUGGCGGUUGGAAAAGGACGUCUUUGUUGUGGCUUUUCUUUUUUCUACUCUGAGCACUUUAGCUUGCUAUGUGUACAGUUAGUGAUUUAUUAUCAUACCUGAAUCUGUGGUGUUAUUUGUUAUAAUAUGGGUGUGGUAAAGUCAUUGUAGACUACAUGACAAUGCUAAAUCAAUGAACUUAAGUAGACUUCCUACAGUAUGAACAUCACAAUCAACCAAUGAAAGCUCCAAGCUGCCCAGUAAACAGGUAACGAAAUAUUUUACUUAGCAAGAAAUCAAAUGUUUUAGGAGAGACAGAGCAGCAUGAAAUGUUAAUGAAAACUAUUAAUGUUACAAACACAAUGAAGUUCAGAGGUAAUAUCUCUGUAAAUUAAGCUUAUUUGGUCAUUUAAAAAUUCUCAGCCCACACUUUCAGCCUCUGUCAAUCUGUCAAUCAAACAGCAGCAAAAGCCUCUCUCCGUUCUAGCUUUAAGAAAGAGUUGUUUAUUUGUACACAAACAGCAACUGACCUAUAGAUGAUUAAAUGAUGAGGAAUUCAA